GAGUUUGAUCCUGGCUCAGGAUGAACGCUGGCGGCGUGCCUAACACAUGCAAGUCGAGCGAAGCACUUAAAAUGGAUUCUUCGGAUGAAGCUUUAUGUGACUGAGCGGCGGACGGGUGAGUAACGCGUGGGCAACCUGCCUUACACAGGGGGAUAACAGUUAGAAAUGACUGCUAAUACCGCAUAAGACCACAGUACUGCAUGGUGCAGUGGUAAAAACUCCGGUGGUGUAAGAUGGGCCCGCGUCUGAUUAGGUAGUUGGCGGGGUAACGGCCCACCAAGCCGACGAUCAGUAGCCGACCUGAGAGGGUGACCGGCCACAUUGGGACUGAGACACGGCCCAGACUCCUACGGGAGGCAGCAGUGGGGAAUAUUGCACAAUGGGGGAAACCCUGAUGCAGCGACGCCGCGUGAGCGAUGAAGUAUUUCGGUAUGUAGAGCUCUAUCAGCAGGGAAGAAAAUGACGGUACCUGACUAAGAAGCCCCGGCUAACUACGUGCCAGCAGCCG
rnacentral:rRNA from 1 species